GUGGGGAAUAUUGGACAAUGGGCGAAAGCCUGAUCCAGCAAUGCCGCGUGAGUGAUGAAGGCCUUCGGGUUGUAAAGCUCUGUCGGAGGGGACGAAAAAGCGGAUUAACAAACCGCAUUGACGGUACCCUCAAAGGAAGCACCGGCUAACUCUGUGCCAGCAGCCGCGGUAAUACAGAGGGUGCAAGCGUUGUUCGGAAUUACUGGGCGUAAAGCGCGUGUAGGUGGCGAUGUAAGUCGGGUGUGAAAUCCCUCGGCUCAACCGAGGAAGUGCACUCGAUACUGUGUCGCUUGAGUGUUGGAGGGGAUGGCGGAAUUCCCGGUGUAGAGGUGAAAUUCGUAGAUAUCGGGAGGAACACCUGUGGCGAAGGCGGCCAUCUGGACAACUACUGACACUGAGACGCGAAAGCGUGGGUAGCAAACAGGAUUAGAUACCCUUGUAGUCC
rnacentral:rRNA from 1 species